rnacentral:rRNA from 1 species
UACGGGGGGGGCAAGCGUUGUUCGGAAUUACUGGGCGUAAAGGGCUCGUAGGUUGCCAACUAAGUCAGACGUGAAAUCCCUCAGCUUAACUGGGGAACUGCGUCUGAUACUGGAUGGCUUGAGUUUGGGAGAGGGAUGCGGAAUUCCAGGUGUAGCGGUGAAAUGCGUAGAUAUCUGGAGGAACACCGGUGGCGAAGGCGGCAUCCUGGGCCAACACUGACACUGAGGAGCGAAAGCCAGGGGAGCAAACGGG